GCGAGUCUGGGCAAGGGAGAAGGAUUUUCUCUCUCAGCAGCCUUUAUUUCAUGGAUUUCAGCAGGAUGGUGAACAAAGAGCAAAGCCAGGCCAUGUGUUCACACAAUCAACAGCUCCACUUCACCUGCGGAUCCCUGAAAGAGAAACACAAAGACCGGGACCACACACAGGAUGUUUCUGCUGUGAAAGGAAAUGAGGAAGAGUUUUGCAGCCUGGCAAUGAAUGGGACUGUGCUCAGCAGCUGUGGGCACCGGGCAGUUCGCACAUCAGACUGGGCUCACCCUGCUCAACAAGACAGGUGAGAAAUGAGGAUCAGUCUCUGAUGGUCCUCCAACAAACUGUCAAGCACUCCACUUGCACCAUGUCCCUGUCUACAGUGGAGAGGAGUCAUUCCCAGCUGUAAAAAUUGGGAGUGAUGCCCUCUUGAAAAGAGCCAUUGCUGCAUUGGCAGCUAUCCCUUGAGAGAGUCCAGUAGGACAAAUAUCCACUGCUUCCUCUGUCAUCAGUGGAGACAAUGAGAUGAAUUUUUGAAAUUACAAAUUUUGUCCACAGUAGGAAUUCCCUGAUUCUCUGAUGGCAAGAUACAAAAUCACCAGAAAACUUUCAGAAACCACUCAACUUGUGAUUUUCUUGAUUUUUCUCUUUUCAGUGACAACAUUUCAAGGAAAUUGUAGGUUUUCUUCUUCUGGUUGUUUUUCUUGCAAAGAUGUAAGUUUAUUUCACUGAGAAAAGGUUUUGAUAGCACAGCCUGAAUCACCUUUAACUUAUCACAGAGAGCAGCUUGUCCUAGCUGGGAUGGCAGCUUUGACAGCCAGCCCUUACUGAUACAAUCAGCACUGCUCUACACAUUUGUGACUGGGUGAGGGCAGAUUUGGGAUGAGAGCCACUAUGCUGGCCAGCCCAGCUGCACUGAUCUCUAGGCAGGUUUGCUCUUUUCUGCUCUUGAUCGCUGUGUUAAAUCCUCCAGCACUGACACCCAGACACAGGUACCUGGGGGCUAAAGGGUGCCUGGUUGGUCCUUCGGGUCAGCACUCUCACAGACAAAGGAGUAGAAAAGGAAAUAAAGGGAUUUAUCUUGCUGCUGGCCCA
rnacentral:lncRNA from 1 species